rnacentral:rRNA from 1 species
GACGAACGCUGGCGGCGUGCUUAACACAUGCAAGUCGAACGGAAAGGCCUCAGCUUGCUGGGGUACUCGAGUGGCGAACGGGUGAGUAACACGUGGGUGAUCUGCCUUGCACUCUGGGAUAAGCUUGGGAAACUGGGUCUAAUACCGGAUAUGAACUGCCUUUAGUGUGGUGGUUGGAAAGUUUUUUCGGUGCAAGAUGAGCUCGCGGCCUAUCAGCUUGUUGGUGGGGUAAUGGCCUACCAAGGCGUCGACGGGUAGCCGGCCUGAGAGGGUGUACGGCCACAUUGGGACUGAGAUACGGCCAAGACUCCUACGGGAGGCAGAAGUGGGGAAUAUUGCAAAAUGGGAGGAAGCCUGAUGCAGCGACGCCGCGUGGGGGAUGACGGCCUUCGGGUUGUAAACUCCUUUCGACAGGGACGAAGCUUUUUGUGACGGUACCUGUAUAAGAAGCACCGGCUAACUACGUG